rnacentral:rRNA from 1 species
GGACUACUAGGGUUUCUAAUCCCGUUUGCUCCCCUGGCUUUCGCUCACUCAGCGUCAGUAAUGGUCCAGGAUGCCGCCUUCGCCACCGGUGUUCCUCCAGAUAUCUACGCAUUUCACCGCUACACCUGGAAUUCCGCAUCCCUCUCCCACACUCAAGCCAUCCAGUAUCAGACGCAGUUCCCCGGUUAAGCCGAGGGAUUUCACGUCUGACUUAGUUGGCCGCCUACGAGCCCUUUACG